AACCCACAUCCCUAUGGACACUAGUUGAGAUCUUAACCCACUGAGCCACAAUGGGAAUUCCAGAAACAAGAUAUAUAUUUUUAAAUCUCAAUAGGCUGAGGGUAACAUGUCAUAAGAUUUGCUCCUGGGUUCAAGGUUAAGAGGGGACCAACUUGCUUGAGAACAGUUCAUUUGGAGAAGACUCGAAGGCCUCCAGGCACGACAAUGACACUGAUGACAGGUGACAUGACGUGGUGGAGACUGUCCAGGCGCUGCACCGAGUGCCACACCACGUGACCUCAUUUAUCUCACAGCAACCUGGGAGUUAGGGUCAGGGAGGUGAAGGGAUCUGUCUAGGGUCACACAGCUGGGCGUCUAGAGCGAUCUUCCGCCAAAGUGCAUCCCCCAGGUCAAAAUGAGGUCAUAGCGAAGGAGGGGAUCCUGCAAAUAAACCACAUUAACAAUAAUCGGUGGUAUUACAGCCUAAAAAAAAGGCUUCCUGGUGCUUUAUCACAGGUGGGAAACCUGAGGCUCAGAGUUAGAAAGUGCCCAGGCUGGUUGGCAGACCUGAGAAGCGGUGGUCCGGACUCUUGAUCUGAGGCCGGACACACUCACCACGAGGCAAUGACCCCGGGGGCUGUGAGGACGUAGAGUGCCCCAAACCCAGCAGGGUCAGCCCCCAAGCUGCCCACUGCCCAGGUCCACCAGGAGCACUGUGAUUGGCGUUGGGUGCUGCAGCUCCAGAGGCACCCAGACCCCCUCAGCCAAUCCCCCAGGGACAGCAGGAUGGGGAGGGGCUGGGCACGCGAUCCUGGAGAAACUGGAUGCUCAGAGCCUGGAAAAGACAGGGCUGUCCUAUGGGUGGUGGUGAGAGCCUGUCCAGAGGUGGGUUUAAGGGCACAGACAGAGCCAGGCUGUGCCCGGGAUAGAAUCCCAGCUCUGCUGCUCAUCUGGGUGACCAUGGACAAGCGGGCCUCUGCAAGUUCAUUAAUACAAUGGGGCUGGUAGUAUCUCCCUUGUGAGAUUGUGUAAGGAUUAAAUAAACAAACAUGUGUACCACCCUCAAAAACCGCAUCAGGUAUCUAGCAAGGACCCCAUCCAAGUUGGAUGUUAUCAUGGAUGCUGUUACUUUUAUUUUGACAGAGCACAGUGGGUGAGAACGCAAUCCUAGAGCCACAGAGAUGUGGAUUCACAGCCCAUCCUACCUGCCUAACUGCUCUGUGAUUCUGAAUCCCUGCAUCACUCCCCUCCCACGAGACCAGAGAAUUAGGAGCACCACCCCAUUUCAUAGCCUCCCGUGCAGCUAGGAGCAGCCACGUGACCAGUUCAUAAGAGGAACUCUGCCAUAAGACCCUCUGGGACUGUGCUUGCUCUCCUGAUCCAGAGGGAUGGACAAGGCCAGCAUGGUCUCCUCCCCCUUUCCCUUCUGCCUCCCUGGAAAGCAGGUGUGACUUCGGACCUGCAGCAGCCAUAUUGCAUCCAGGAGGCACAUCAUGAGAAGGCUCACAGGACUCUGGGAUGCUGGUCUUGAAGUCAGAGAGCUGCAAAACAGCUGUGGCCGACCUCUGGACUUCUUGUUACGUGAAAGCAUAAAUGCCUGUUUCAGCCACUCUCAGUUCCUCUUCUGUCUGCGGCCUUAUGCGUUUCUGACAGACACAUUACUGAUCUACGAGGAAACGGAGGCUCAGAGAGGUUAACGAACUUGCCCAAAGAAGUCGAGAAGCCGGAAUAUGGCUCCAGAAUUCUGGUCCUGAACACGGCUGCACGGGCCCUGCUUUGAAGCUCCCAACAGCCUGCUGCACGAGGUCAGAUAAAUCCCGGCCCCUCCCAGCCUCAGUCUCCCCAUCUGAAAUAGUAAUGAUAAUAACGACAGUAAUUACAUCAUAAGAACCACUACCCCACACCCUGCUACUGCAGCUCAGACACUAUUCUAAGAACAUGAGGACGUGGCCUCUGCUUUCCUGGGUCUCGUGGUCGAGUGGAGGCGUCUGGCAAUUGCAUGAUCUCCGUGGUCACAGACGUGGUGAAGAAAAAGCCUCUGAUGUUUUGAGCGCCAGCAGGAGCCCGGCCGCUUGACAGUCCCUCACAGAAUCGGCUGUGCGUUGGGCAAGAGGGUUUGGCAAGCAGAUGCUUCGAACAUGGGACAACCUCACCCCAGCCCCCUAGCCCCUAGCACCACCCUCCUCUGUGGCUCUUGAGAGCCAUUCUUUUUUUUUUUUUUUUUUUUUAGGGCUACACCUGCAGCAUAUGGAGGUUUAUCAGAGAGAGAAGCGGGGCUGCUGUGUAUACAGGGGGGUCAAGGCUCCCUCAGACCGAGGCUGGUCGGGGGGGGUGCUUCCCAGAAGAAGGGGUGCUGGGUGGUCCAUGGGUGAAGCAAUUAAGAGUUGGCCUCAGGACAGGGGGCAAGGGAGAGAGGCCAGUGCAAAGGCCCCAGCCAGGCAAGAAGGACAAAGUUACGAGGGAUCCCCACGAGAGCGGGACCCCCGUUCCCUGCUGCAUCCCCAGCGCCCAGAACAGUUCUGGCACAACGUAGGAGCCCAACCUAAGGCCGCUCCCUCAGUCUGCAGUCCAGCAAGUGGGUGGGCCGUGCUGUGGGCCGCAUGGGGAGAGCCUGGCUGCCUGCGGGGAGGCGGGGGUGCUGAGCCAGGGGACACACAGGCUGGUGGGCCGGCUCUGGGCCUCCUGCCUCUGACCCACGUGCCUUGAGAAAGAGGAAGUGCUCCCAGCCUCAAGCAGCAGCUGUUUCCUGAAGGUUCAGGUGUGUGUGCGGGGUCCAGCGUCCACCGAGUCGGGUGGAAGUGAAUGGGACAACCUCACCCCAGCCCCCUAGCCCCUAGCACCACCCUCCUCUGUGGCUCUUGAGAGCCAUUCUUUUUUUUUUUU